GAUGAACGCUGGCGGCGUGCCUAAUACAUGCAAGUCGAGCGAACGGACGAGAAGCUUGCUUCUCUGAUGUUAGCGGCGGACGGGUGAGUAACACGUGGAUAACCUACCUAUAAGACUGGGAUAACUUCGGGAAACCGGAGCUAAUACCGGAUGAUAUUUUGAACCGCAUGGUUCAAAAGUGAAAGACGGUCUUGCUGUUAAUUAUAGAUGGAUCCGCGCUGCAUUAGCUAGUUGGUAAGGUAACGGCUUACCAAGGCAACUAUGCAUAGCCGACCUGAGAGGGUUGUCGCGCACCCUAGAACAACGACCCAGUCCAAACCCCUACAGGACGCACCAGCACAGACUCCUCCGUUACGGGCGAGAGUCUGACCGUGCAACACCGCGUAAGUACUGAAGGAGUUCUGACCGUAACAAUCUGAACUUACGCACCAAACUAUAUGUAAGUAGCUGUGCACAUAUUGACGUUACAUAGUCAGCAAGCCACGGCUAACUACGUG
rnacentral:rRNA from 1 species